AGCAGCCGCGGUAAUUCCAGCUCCAAUAGCGUAUAUUAAAGUUGUUGCAGUUAAAAAGCUCGUAGUUGAAUUUCGGGAUUUGUCAGUUGGUCGGGCUUCACUGUCCGUACUGACUUGAUGGAUUCUUACCUUCUGAAUAACCAGCAUGCUAUUAAGUUAGUGCGUUGGGGAAGCAGAUCUAUUACCUUGAAAAAAUUGAGUGCUUAAAGCGGGCUAGUGCUUGAAUAGAUUAGCAUGGAAUAAUAAAAUAGGACGGCAUGGUUCUAUUUUGUGGUUUCUAGGAUCACCGUAAUGAUUAAUAGGGAUAGUUGGGGCAUUAGUAUUCAAUUGUCAGAGGUGAAAUUCUUGGAUUUAUUGAAGACUAACUUCUGCGAAAGCAAUUUUGCCAAGGAUGUUUUCAUUAAUCAAGAACGAAAGUUAGGGGAUCGAAGACGAUCAGAUACCGUCGUAGUCUUAACCAUUAAACCUAUGCCGACUAGGAAUCGGACGUAAGUUAAUUUUANAAUGACUCGUUCGGCUA
rnacentral:rRNA from 1 species